AACGAACGCUGGCGGCAUGCCUAACACAUGCAAGUCGAACGAGACCUUCGGGUCUAGUGGCGCACGGGUGCGUAACGCGUGGGAACCUGCCCUUAGGUUCGGAAUAACUCCCCGAAAGGGGUCCUAAUACCGGAUAAUGUCUUCGGACCAAAGAUUUAUCGCCUUUGGAUGGGCCCGCGUUGGAUUCGCUAGUUGGUAGGGUAAAAGCCUACCAAGGCGACGAUCCAUAGCUGGUCUGAGAGGAUGAUCAGCCACACUGGGACUGAGACACGGCCCAGACUCCUACGGAAGGCAGCAGUGGGGAAUAUUGGACAAGGGGCGAAAGCCUGAUCCAGCAAUGCCGCGUGAGUGAUGAAGGCCUUAGGGUUGUAAAGCUCUUUUACCCGGGAUGAUAAUGACAGUACCGGGAGAAUAAGCUCCGGCUAACUCCGUG
rnacentral:rRNA from 1 species